UGAGGAAUAUUGGACAAUGGGCGAAAGCCUGAUCCAGCGACGCCGCGUGAGUGAUGAAGGCCUUAGGGUUGUAAAGCUCUUUUAGUGGGGAAGAUAAUGACGGUACCCACAGAAAAAGUCCCGGCUAACUUCGUGCCAGCAGCCGCGGUAAUACGAAGGGGAUUAGCGUUACUCGGAAUUAUUGGGCGUAAAGCGUGCGUAGGCUGCUUAUUAAGUCAGAAGUGAAAUCCUUGGGCUCAACCCAAGAACUGCUUUUGAAACUGGUAGGCUUGAGUACUGUAGGGGGUAGCGGAAUUCCUAGUGUAGGGGUGAAAUUCGUAGAUAUUAGGAGGAACACCGGAGGCGAAAGCGGUUACCUGGACAGUCACUGACGCUGUUGCACGAAAGCGUGGGGAGCAAACAGG
rnacentral:rRNA from 1 species